UCGGCUGUGAGAAAGGAAAACGUUUGGACCGAGCUGAGUCACAUGAACACGUUCUUUAAAAGUUGAAUCCAGUUUCUAUUUUGGGCCGUGGCUGUGAGGAGAAUGUGUUUCUCUGCAGGAGGCAGUGUGAGCUGGCGGAGCGGCGUUUGGCGGAGCGGCGUUUGGCGGAGCGGCGCUCCUCCGUCUGUUCGCCAGCGGCUCGGCGGCCAUCUGGACAGGCUUCUCCACCAGCCAGCCUCCGCUCCUCAGGCUGAAGCACGGCGAGAUGUUAAUUAUUUAACAGUUUUACUGAGAGCUGUGUUUAUUUUUAGAGAGUGAAGACAUGUAGAAGUGUUUCCCAGCUGAUGCUCGGUGUGUGUGUUGUUACCGAUCUUGAGCGGCGCGUCCAGCGACAGGUCGGCGUACAGCAGGUUCUCCGGCUUCAGGUCACGAUGGACGACCCCGUUACCGUGCAAAUACUGAAACACACAGAGAAACAUCUUCAGAGGCCACAGGAACACCAUGUCUGGGCUGCUGGAGGUUUCUGGGAGGAUUUGUCCGGACGGAGAGGAAGGAGCCGACGUGGAGACGGUUUUAGACGCGUUCAGAACCAACCCGGCCGAUUCGGGCCGUGAACUCCUCCGACCCUCGGCCAGCAGACACUCGAAGAAACUCAGACGUCCCAGAGGAUUUUUAAACCUUCAUCAACCGUUUCUACAGUCUGGAGAGAAGAACAUUCAGCCUGUAACAGCAGCCUCCAUACUGAGGACGUUUAACAAACAUUAAAUGAUAGUAAACUUAAUUCAGCCGCAAAAACCUUUUUUUUAAAAAUCGUGACUUUCAAUUUGAAAACACGACCGCAGGAAACUGGCUUCAAUAAAAAUGUAACACAUCUACA